GCCUUUGUGGCACAAUGGUUAAGCAUUCAAUUGCUAACUGAAAGGUUGGUGGUUCCAGCCCACCCAGCGGCU
rnacentral:tRNA from 1 species